AUGGGCCCCUGCACCUGUAUGGGAGACCUGGAAGAAGCUGCCAAGGCUCUUGGCUUUGAAUCAGCUCAGCUUUGGCCAUUGUAGCCAUCUGGGGUGUGAACCAGCAGAUGGAAGACCUCUCACUGCUUCUGCCUCUCUAUAACUCUGCCUUUCACAUAAAUAAAUAAAUCUUUAAAAAAAAUCUGUACAGAAACUGGCAGUGCAACACUUUGGGGUGCUCUGCUAUGAGCUGCUGGUGGGAAAUCCACCCUUCGAGAGCGUCUCUCACACUGAGACAUACAGACGCAUCCUGAAGAUGGAUGUGAAGUUUCCUGUAACAAUGUCUUCGGGAGCCCAAGACUUCAUAUCCAGGCUUCUGAGAUACCAGCCGUCAGAGUGGCUGCCCCUGGCCCAGAUCCUGAGGCACCCCUGGGCCCAGGCCCACUCCUGGAAACUUCACAUCCAGCUUAAGGAUGCGUCUGUAUGUCUCAGUGUGAGAGACGCUCUCGAAGGGUGGAUUUCCCACCAGCAGCUCAUAGCAGAGCACCCAAAGUGUUUUACUGCCAUUUUCUGCACAGAUUUUUUUUAAAGAUUUAUUUAUUUAUGUGAAAGGCAGAGUUAUAGAGGGGCAGAAACAGCGAGAGGUCUUCCAUCUGCUGGUUCACGCACCAGAUGGCUACAAUGGCCAAAGCUGAGCUGAUUCAAAGCCAAGAGCUUUUGGAGCUUCUUCCAGGUCUCCCAUACAGGUGCAGAGGCCCAUGUAUGUGGGCCAUCUUCCUCUACUCUCCCAGGCCAUAGCAGAGAGCUGGAUAGGAAGUGGAGCACCUGGGACUCAAACCAGUGCCCAUAUGGGAUGCUGGCACUGCAGGUGGCAGCUUUACCCACUAUGCCACAGUGCCAGCCUCUCUGCACAGCUUUAUUCUGCAGAUGCAUCACCAUUCUAUAUCAAUGAAACCAAGAACACACUACUAUUUCUAUACCUAUAAUGAAAGCCAGAGACAUUAAUAAUCUUUCUGCCAGAAAACUUCCAGUCCAAACCAGGAGUAGAGUUAUGAAUUCAGGCUUAGUGUGGAUGGGGCUGGCACUAUCGUGUGGAGGGUAAAGCCACCACCUGCUUCACCAGCCUGUGUCCUAGAUGGGCACAGGUUCAAGUUUCAGCUGCUCCACAUCUGAUCCAUCUCCAUGCUGAGAUACCUGGGAAAACAGCAGAGGUUGGCCUAAGUGCUUGGGCCCCUGCACCCACUUGGGAGACUUGGAAGAAACUCCAGGCUCCUGACUUCAGGUCAGCCCAGCUCUGGCUGUUGCAGUCAUUUGGGGAAUAAACCAGCAGGUGGAAGAUAUUUUUGCCUCUCU
rnacentral:lncRNA from 1 species